AUCACUCCUGUAGAAUGCAGUGGUUCAUCAGAACCUCUGGGGAUGUCCUGUGGAUUCUGUGGAUCCUGUGGGUUGCAGGGUGGGUCCUACCUAGACCAGGCUGAUCCUGGACCAUCCCACAGAUGCUCCAUCAGAUCUGGAUGUGGGGAGUGUGGAACCCAGAUGUUCAGAGGGAGAUGAUGCCACAUCUGGUCCAGCUGAUGGAAGGUCUUGAAGUUCUCUGACUGGCCUCGACUGAAGAUGGUCGUCUCACUGGAUUUAAGGUUCAGAUGCUCAGUAACAAACUCCACCAAUGAGCCAACAGGGAAGCUU
ensembl:lncRNA